UACGAAGGGUGCAAGCGUUACUCGGAAUUACUGGGCGUAAAGCGUGCGUAGGCGGUUUGUUAAGUCUGAUGUGAAAGCCCUGGGCUCAACCUGGGAAUUGCAUUGGAUACUGGCAGGCUAGAGUGCGGUAGAGGAUGGCGGAAUUCCCGGUGUAGCAGUGAAAUGCGUAGAGAUCGGGAGGAACAUCAGUUGCGAAGGCGGCUCUCUGGACCAGCACUGACACUGAGGCACGAAAGCGUGGGGAGCAAACAGG
rnacentral:rRNA from 1 species